UAAAAAAAAAAAAGAAAAGAAAAGAAGAAAGAAGAAAAGAUUAGGAGAGAAGAGAGAAACUCAUUUUGUUUCCUCCAUUUCCUUCUGCUUCCUCUGCCGUGAAACCCUCCUUUCUCCAUUUGUUUUUCCUACAUCAAAUUUCUUCAAAUCUCUACCUCCAAUCAAUUCCCCAUCUUCUCCCAACACCUUUCCAAAGAAGAAUUUGAAGAAAAGAAGGGAAAUCAAAGAGAAAUUUCAAGGGUGAGGGGGAGUGAAUAGUAACCAAGGGUUUGAAAUUUAAAGAAGUGGAAAGGAAAAGUGGAAGUUCCAAAGGGAAAGAAAAGGAAGAGUAGAGAAUUAAAGCUUGUAGAAUAUUUUGGAAAUUCUAAGGUUGUAGACCCAAGUAGCAGUAGAUUAAAAUCUGCAUCAACUCAGCCAGAGUUAUAUCAUUAUCUAUCUUGGGGGUAUAUUUUGUAAAGUUUAUAUAAAGGUGAUUGUGGAAAUUUGGCAUGUACAUAAAGUUUUAGUUGUAGAUGAUUUGAAUUAAAUAUAUUUGAAGACUUUAAUUUUGGUGUAAA